GCGCGCGCCGGCGGCUGCGCAGUGUGGGCACAUCCGGGCACUGGGGCAGGAUGAGCGCUCCUUUCCAAGAUGGCGGCGGAGGGAGGAGGGAAGGAGAUGAACGAGAUUAAGACCCAGUUCACCACCCGGGAGGGGCUGUACAAGCUGCUGAGCCACUCGGAGUACAGCCGGCCCAACCGCGUGCCCUUCAACUCGCAGGGCUCCAACCCCGUCCGUGUCUCCUUCGUCAACGUCAACGACCAGAGCGGCAACGGGGACCGGCUCUGCUUCAAUGUGGGCCGAGAGCUCUACUUCUACAUCUACAAGGGGGUCCGCAAGGCUGCGGACUUGAGUAAACCAAUAGACAAAAGGAUAUACAAAGGAACACAGCCUACAUGCCAUGACUUCAAUCACUUAACAGCCACAGCAGAAAGUGUGUCUCUUCUAGUGGGCUUCUCCGCAGGCCAGGUCCAGCUUAUAGACCCCAUUAAAAAAGAAACUAGCAAAUUAUUUAAUGAGGAAAGACUAAUAGACAAGUCCAGAGUAACCUGUGUAAAAUGGGUACCGGGUUCGGAAAGCCUUUUCCUAGUAGCUCAUUCCAGUGGCAAUAUGUACUUGUAUAACGUGGAGCACACUUGUGGUACCACAGCCCCGCACUACCAGCUACUUAAACAAGGAGAGAGUUUUGCAGUGCACACUUGCAAGAGUAAAUCCACAAGAAACCCUCUGCUUAAAUGGACAGUAGGUGAGGGUGCCCUGAAUGAAUUUGCCUUUUCCCCUGAUGGGAAGUUCUUGGCGUGCGUGAGCCAGGAUGGUUUUCUUCGCGUGUUUAACUUUGAUUCGGUGGAAUUGCAUGGUACAAUGAAAAGCUACUUUGGAGGACUGCUGUGUGUGUGUUGGAGUCCCGAUGGGAAGUACAUAGUGACAGGCGGAGAGGAUGACUUGGUGACAGUUUGGUCUUUCGUGGACUGUCGAGUCAUAGCGAGAGGCCACGGACACAAAUCAUGGGUCAGUGUCGUUGCGUUCGAUCCCUAUACCACUAGUGUAGAAGAGAGUGACCCGAUGGAAUUUAGCGGAAGUGAUGAGGAUUUCCAAGACCUUCAUUUUGGCAGAGAUCGAGCCAAUAGCACGCAAUCUAGAUUAUCCAAAAGGAACUCUACAGACAGUCGUCCAGUAAGUGUUACAUAUAGAUUUGGUUCAGUAGGCCAGGACACACAGCUCUGUUUGUGGGAUCUUACAGAAGAUAUCCUCUUCCCCCACCAACCUCUCUCAAGAGCAAGGACACAUACAAAUGUCAUGAAUGCCACAAGUCCACCUGCAGGAAGUGGUGGAACUAACCCGGGAAGUAAUGGAAACAGUAUCACAACACCUGGAAACUCUGUACCCCCUCCUCUUCCACGAUCAAACAGCCUUCCACACUCUGCAGUCUCAAAUGCUGGCAGUAAAAGCAGUGUCAUGGAUGGUGCCAUUGCUUCUGGCGUUAGUAAAUUUGCAACCUUAUCGCUACAUGAUCGGAAGGAAAGACACCAUGAAAAAGAUCACAAGAGAAACCAUAGCAUGGGACAUAUAUCUAGCAAGAGCAGUGACAAACUGAACCUAGUUACUAAAACCAAAACGGACCCAGCUAAAACUUUGGGAACACCUCUCUGUCCCCGAAUGGAAGAUGUUCCCUUGUUAGAGCCUCUUAUCUGUAAAAAGAUAGCACAUGAAAGACUGACUGUGUUAAUUUUUCUUGAAGACUGUAUAGUCACUGCUUGUCAGGAGGGAUUUAUUUGCACAUGGGCAAGGCCUGGUAAAGUGGUAAGUUUUAAUCCUUAAUGCUGCAUCAAAGAACUAGAACUCUGAAUAGAUAGUUUUCUUGAAAUAUAAAUGAAUGUUGAAUAUAAAAUUUCUUUAUGCUUAAUGUAAAAAAAAAUAUCCUCAGAGCCAUACUUUUGGAUACUGCAUGCCAUAUUUCUGAAUGAUUUGAAGUGUCUUGGAUACAAUUAUUAAGUAUAGUUGCCUUCCAGCAGAAGAAAUAAAUACUGUGCAUCUAAACUAUUGAUCAGUGUUCUUAUACUUAAGCAUAACCACAAUAUGGUGAAAGCUGUUUAUGUAAAAAUUGAAGUAAAACCUGUCAAACACUAAAAUAAUUAUAAUCCUUCUAACUUUUUCUACAAAAUACAGCACUCCCAAUGAGAGUAGCUUAUGAAAAGCUGCUGCUUUUAAGUCUAAUGAGAAAUGUGAGCCUCUGAAAAAAUUAAAGCCAAAGUGUUUUAUUCCUCCAUACUUUUCUGUGUGGCCUGCCAUUAAUGUGAAACCACUUCUUAUUCAAACAUCAGGCAUUUUAUGCACAGAUUUGUGAGCCCUGUACUGACUGUAGCUUAUGCUCUUGAAAUUGUGAAUCAGUAUUAUCAAGAAACUCUAAUUUUAGCCAGGUAUUGAUUUAUGUAUUUAAGUUAGAUAAAAUCCUGCAGGCUUUCCCUGAGUAGUUUCAGUGUUCUGUUCCUGUCAGGUUUUAGGCAAUUUGAUCAUCGACAAGCUCGUGCUUUUGAUGGCACCUGUUCCAUCAACUGAACCUACAUUAAAAUCUAUUACUAGUUCUAACUCUUGUUGUUAAUGCACUUGAACACCUAUAAAACUUUAUUUUUCCUUCUGUCCAAUGUAUAGCAAGCUAAAUUUUUAAUGAAGCUAAAUGUGGUGAUUCUUUUGUUAAAAAGUACUUUGUGCUACAGUAGCUCUGUCUGCCAGCAACAGUUCAAAGGAAUACAACUAUGAAAACAUUACCAGAGUUGGUCUGGCAAAAAGGACCAUUAUUUUGGUGAAAAUUUCUGAAAGGGGAUGUAGAUUAUCACCUGAAAUAAAAGAGAUUACCUGGUAAUACCUGAAUAUUGCCACGUUGGGCAACCUAAAUGAAACUCUGUUGUUCGUUAGGUUUUAACCACUUGGUUCAUAAAUCUGACUUUUGAAGUGGAGGUACUGUAUAUAUUUAGAUACCACAUCUUCAUUGCUAUAAACUUUCAAGUAAAACUCAAUUUUUCUUAGAACUGUUUGUAUAAUGUAGGUUUCUUUGAGAUGUUAUCAAAUUUGUCACAACAUAGGUGUAUGCAUAGAGAGCUGUGUCUGCUCUUCAUCUUAAUGCAUAUUUAAAGGUUGAAUCUAAAACUAAAAGUUGUAAACCCUUCUCUGGGGAGAAGGGAGGAGGGUGUUACCUAAAAGUAUUUUUUUUGUCUCAGAACUAGAGAUUCAGCAUUAAUGAAGGGGGAAAAAAAAAAAGAGCAUCCCCUCAGAAUACUAAACUGUUUAAAACAUUUGUCCUAAAUGAAAAUACUAAAGCAGUUAUACUUUUGUGACUCAGUGCACUUCACAUCUUAUGAAUUAACUUUAGAUGCUUACAGCAGUGCCUCAGAUUGCUAUUGUGAGCUAUAUUUUCUUUUGGUUCUAAAACUCCUUUACAUACUACUAAACACUACAUUGUUACAUUUAUUUUCAGUGGCUGAGGUGGGUUUUGUUAGACUGAGUAUAACUUAAAUAUUUUUGUGUAUUGACUUUGAUUUGGAAUAUGACAUUUCAAAUAUUUCAGAGAUAAAGUAUGCAGUACCAAAAAUCAGGAUUUAUGUAUUGGCCAAUAUGGAAAACUUUAAUUACAGGGUACUUGAAAGUUGCUUAGUGGAUGUAAUCUUCUGGCAAGAAAGACCUUCCAGUUGCUGCUGGAUUUAAUAGACUUGUGAAGAAUGCUUCAGUAAUGAACUAGAGAGUUCUGAUUCAUCCUCAUCACUUUCCAACAAAACUUCCUUGGUAAAAAAUUUCAUAAGUGCUUCAGUGGCUUGUUUGCUCUAAAGUUCUGCCUUCUUUCACCAUCUAGUCCUUAACUAAUAACUAGGAAGCUUCUUGUUCUCAUUAAAUAUGCAGUAUCUUUGCACAGCCUGAAUGUCAAGUGCAAAAAACAACCCACUUCAGUCUACCUCAACAGUGUGAGAAUAACAAAACCCCUGCAUAAACCUGAGUACAAAUAAAAAUAAGUGUCCAAGUUCCUUCAGGUGAGAUCUAUGGAGGGCACCAAAUUAAGUGCCACAUCCUUUAUUAUAAAUACAUGUUUAUUAUAAAUAUGGAAUGUAUGCACAUGUACACAGAUCCAGAGUCUGCUAUAAAUCCAGCAAACUAUCCAGGUUCAUAAUGUGUCUGAACUGGUAGAUCAGAUGGUUUUUUAAAAGGAAGGGCUUUGGUUUUAGUAGAAACUUGAUGACUUGAAUCCAGCCAGUCUGGCCCUCUUUCCACCUCUUCCAUCAGUCAUGGCCUCUCAUUUCUUGGAUUCAAGCAUGAAAGAGCUCCUGUAGAUUCUGAAGAUGGGACAUAAUUCUAACUUGUAUGCUAAUUGCUGCCUGAGCUUGUCUAGUUUGAUGGAUCUGAGUCCCGGGAUCCUAAUUUUGAGGGUUUAUUGUCAUCCCAAAACCAGGCCAAUUCUCCAAGUGGAACUGUAGUAUAGCCAUCACACUACUGCUAGCAAAUCUCUGAACGCAGGACAAGAAGUAAUGACAGUGGAACCAGGAGCUGUUCUUCAGGCAAAGAGCAUCACAAAUUUUAAUGUGGCAGAGUGUAAACAUGGAAUUAUGUGAAUCACAUAGUGACUUGCAAAGGACAAAUGCAAUGGGUUCUCACUACAGCCGAUCCUGGUAGGCUGCUCACCCAAGGAAGAGUUUGCAUUGGAGAAAAAGCAAAAAGCUUCCUUUGGUGCUGCAGGAAAAAGUAGUAACAUAUUUGGUUUUCUUUAUACUUUUCAAGUCCAGUGUAAUUUAAUCUCUCUAUAUAAAUAUAUAAAUAAAAGAUAUAUAUAUAUAUAUAUAUAUAGUGUAAAAUAAGAUAUGUUUCUUAAAUUCAAGUAAGUUCAAUGGUUAAACUAGUACUUCACCAUUGUUUAUUUUGCACUGAUUUUUUUAACCAGAGAUGGCUAGAAGACAGCCUGGAAUGCACUCAUGGAAAAUGAAAGUCAUUACUUUCUGGCUUCAAAAUGUUAUUCAGGAAGAUGGAUGCUGCAAUCAUAGAUUUUUUUAAAACAAAAUUGUUUUGCACUUAAAUAGUUUAAUGCUAAUAGAGAAUUACUUUAAAAUUGGUGUUCAGACACCAGAAAAACUAUGUUGUGGAGAAAAGAUCCUUUGUAUCUAUUAAACAUUUAUUUUAAUAUUGUUGGUUUCAACGGCAAUCGGCUCUGUAUUAUAUGUAUAAAUAAUGUAAUUCAGUGAUGGGGGAGGGGAGUAACGGAUCAUUACACUAGAGAUUCUCAUUCAUUUAAGAAAGUGAUAUUUCUAAUUCAGAAAAUACAUAUUAAACUAUCUUGAAUAUGCAUUUUUGUUUACUUUCUGUUCAAAUUCGAUCACUUUUGAUGUAACCAAUCCUUUGUUGAAUUAAAUGUUUGGUACAGAAAUACUAA